UCUUCUUUCCCGUGAUUCCCUCAAACAUUCACUUUCACUCUCUUUCUCCCGUCGAGCUCUCUCUCUAUACACGGACAACCCCCAAAACUUCUUCAAAUCUUCACAGAUCGAAGAAAAUAAAACCAUCAUCGUCUUCAUCUCGACGAUACGAGUCCAACCAUACCUAUUUCAGGAGUUUUUAAGCUCAUAGGGAGCUUAAGGAGGUCCUUAGGAGGCUCGGGGUAGUUCGUUGGAAGUUUUUGGACGUAAGAACAAGGAGAUCGAAAAGUUCAAGUUUGACCCGUGCCUUUCGAGGAGUUUUCCGGCCAAACCACGGAGUGUUAGACGUCGUGCGAGUUUCCGGCGAGUCUGACGGCUUUCAAGGCUUUUUCCGAUGCAUUCCCGGCGAGUUAAGGGUCGAUACAGGUGAGACUUACAUGGAGGACGAGCGUAACCAAACUAGGCGUGGGGGUUACAAACCGGCUACUUAUCAGUGAGUGGGCAGUUAUUUUUCAGUAUAUAUAUAUAUAUAUGCUUGACGUUUUUCCCAGAAACGUAUUUUAAGGAAAUGUGAUUUAAGUAUCCUGUCAUAUAUGCAUCAUAUUUUAGUAUGUGCAUUAUUAUAAUUAUGCAUAUUGUUGCAUGGUGCUGAGGAGGCCCAAAUAAGCUACAUGUGAGUAUAAUACAUUUGGAAUACUAUUGAAAUAUGAUUGAAAUAUGUUUGAGAUAUA